rnacentral:lncRNA from 1 species
UUUAUAUAUAGAUUGGAGUAGGAUUCCCCGAUUGGUGUAAAUUUUGGCCUCCUAGGUGGUUCAUGAGGACGGAAGUUAUUUUAUGAAGGAUGGGGGUUAUAGUGGUCUUGGUGAGGAGGCUGGUUUCUAUGAAAUGUAGCUCUGUUCUUGUUGAUUUGCUGCUGAGGCCGAACAUAAGGUUUCAUGACCGCGUAUGGCUGAGGAGCAUAGGCCAUGUCCUGGUGGGGGUAAUAACACUGCAGGGUUCUUUCUGGGAAACGAGAUCUAGGAGCACGGUGUUUUCUUGCACCCGAUGCUGCCUUAGAUGUUUCUUCCUCUUUCUUUCCGUUCGCUAUUCCUC